AGCAGAGGGUGAUGUAGGAGCAUGUGUUGGAGAUUGAUCCCGGUGUCAGAGGACUUCUGUUCAGGAUACAGGUCACCUACGCCCUGCCGGCUCCCUGGGGUGAGAGUGGGGACACCUGAUCUGGGCACCUGUCAGGCAUGGUUAACUCUUUCCACACCCGAGGGCCCGCAGACGGGUCACAGACAUGCUGGACCUCCAGGUAAACGUGGACGAAUGGGACGAAGAGGGGAACCCGGUA
rnacentral:lncRNA from 1 species